rnacentral:rRNA from 1 species
CCUACGGGUGGCAGCAGUGAGGAAUAUUGGUCAAUGGCCGGAAGGCUGAACCAGCCAUGCCGCGUGAAGGUCAGUGCCCUAUGGGCGUUAAACUUCUUUUGUGCGGGAGCAAAGUCACCCACGUGUGGGUGUUGGAGAGUACCUGAAGAAAAGGCAUCGGCUAACUCCGUGCCAGCAGCCGCGGUAAUACGGAGGAUGCGAGCGUUAUCCGGAUUUAUUGGGUUUAAAGGGUGCGUAGGCGGGUUAUCAAGUCAGCGGUAAAAUCGUGGAGCUCAACUCUAUCCAGCCGUUGAAACUGAUGAUCUUGAGUGGGCGAGAAGUAUGCGGAAUGCGUGGUGGAGCGGUGAAAUGCAUAGAUAUCACGCAGAACUCCGAUUGCGAAGGCAGCAUACCGGCGCCCGACUGACGCUGAAGCACGAAAGCGUGGGUAUCGAACAGGAUUAGAUACCCUUGUAGUC